UACGUAGGGUGCGAGCGUUAAUCGGAAUUACUGGGCGUAAAGCGUGCGUAGGCGGUUGCAUAAGCUUGAUGUGAAAGCCCCGGGCUUAACCUGGGAAUGGCAUUGAGGACUGUGCGGCUUGAGUGCGGCAGAGGGAGGUGGAAUUCCAGGUGUAGCAGUGAAAUGCGUAGAGAUCUGGAGGAACACCGAUGGCGAAGGCAGCCUCCUGGGCCGACACUGACGCUGAGGGCACGAAAGCGUGGGGAGCAAACAGG
rnacentral:rRNA from 1 species